ensembl:lncRNA
GUAAACUUCAAAAUCCUAUUCCAUGUAGUACAGCAGCCCCCAGCCCUCGGUUCCCCUUUCCAGAUUCAGUUACCAGAGGUCAGCUGUGGUCCAAAAGUAUUAAACGGAAAAUUCCAGAAAGAAACAAUUCAUAAGUUGUGAAUUGCAUGCGUCCUGAGAAGUGUGAUGAAAUCUCGUGCUGUCCCCUCCAGCCUGCCCAGGACGUGACUCCCCCUUCGUCCAUCGGAUCCACGCUGUGCUACCCGCCCGUUAGUCACUUAGUGGCCAUCUCAGUUAUCAGAUGGACUGUCGUGGUAUGGCAGUGCCUGUGUUCCAGGAACACUUCUUUUACCCAGUAAUGGCCCCAAAGCGAAGAGCAGUGAUGCUGGCAAUUCAGACAUGCCAAAGAGAAUGAUUGCUGUCAACCCCUUACUGUGCCUAAUUUAUGAAUUAAACUAAGCCAUAGGAGAGUGCGUGUAGGAAAAAACACCCUCUGUGGGUUUCCGUGCCAUCUGUGGCUUCGGGCAUCCACUGGGUUUUGCACCGUGUCCUCCGUGGACACAUGGGGACGAAUGAAGACGGUAAAUCUAUAGAACUCACCAGCAAGAGCCAUUUGAAACGUGGCUUUGUUAACUUCAGAAGGGACCCUCCAAAUCUUUUCAGUCGACGCAGUGACAGCAUCCACGUGUUUCCACAACCUCAUCCUCUGUGUUCCCAUCCUGGUCAGAACACUGGCCUGGAACCCUCACUCAGACCAGCGCCGGCGUAGACGGGGAACAUCUUUGUCGUGCAAUUGAGAACCCCUGGUUCCUCGAGGACAGUCUGUCAAAGGGAAACCUCUGGUGCCACCUGCUGCCCCCAUCCUGCAUGACUCUGUACAGCUCUGAGGGAGAAUAGGAAGUUUUGAAGCCAGUUAGUCACUGUAAGAUGGAAAAAGCUCAAGUGUGUGCUGUAUCACUUGUAAAGUGUGUUGCACACAUUAUCUUGUUGCUUCUUACACGCUCCCAGAAGAUAAACAGGGCACAGAUAGGUAUUGUGGUGCCAAAUAAGAAAACAAACUGGACUGAAGUAAGGGGGGACUUUACUCAAAAGUACUACUGCACUGGGGCCCGUCCCGUUCCAGCACGGCCUGUCUUAGCUAAUUACGUCCCUCCCCAACGACCUCGUUUCCAAAUAAGGUCAUAUUCUGAGGACUCCAACACACGGAUUUUAGUGGAAUGCAGUUCAACCCACACCACGCAAGGAGAGCCCGACAGCCAGCACUGAGCGCAGCGCUGGGAAGGUCCAACCCCGAGACCCGGGAGUGUCUCCAGCCUGGGCAGCAGGGGCUGUUCUCUGGGGAGCGAGCGGGGCUGGACAGAACCGUGUGGGCAGCAGAGGAGCCUGACGGGCGGGAGAGAAUCAAAAUAAGCCAACUGAGACAUGAUGGUAAAUUGUGCGCCCGCCUCCUUACAAAUCGCAGCAGAGCAGACAGGUGUCGAAGCUGAUCUGGACCAGUGAGAGAGGGAAGAAGAGAAGAAGUGAACCUUUCAGAAUUCGGCUCACAAAAGCAUGCCCAUUGUUGGAGAAGAAACAGAUCGUGAGGGACAGUCAUUAAUAUUUCCCAUAAGGAAUAACCACUCCUCUGUUUUAAAUGCCUGUGACGAGAUGUGAAUGGAGAUAAUUGACUGAACCCCAAAUCUCC